GCCGGAGUGGCGAAAUUGGUAGACGCGCUGGAUUCAAAAUCCAGUUUUGGUAACAAAGUGCCGGUCGAGUCCGGCCUCCGGCACCA
rnacentral:tRNA from 1 species